CCUGGGGAACUGAAACAUCUAAGUACCCAGAGGAAGAGAAAGAAAAUUCGAUUCCCUAAGUAGCGGCGAGCGAAAGGGGAAGAGCCCAAACCAGGAACUUGUUCCUGGGGUUGCGGAUAGAUCAUAACGCUUUGAUUUCUUUAGUUGAAGAGAACUGGAAAGUUCCGUCGUAGAAGGUAAUAACCCUGUAGGCGAAAAGGAAAGAAAAGUAGAU
rnacentral:rRNA from 1 species